rnacentral:tRNA from 1 species
GACAAGUAGCUCAGUGGUAGAGCACUUGCCUAGCAUGUGUGAAGCCCUGGGUUCAAUCCCAGUAUCA